rnacentral:ncRNA from 1 species
GGGUUACUCCAUUGCGCUACGCGCUAGUUGAUAAAAGUUCGCACCUCUAUCAAACUGGGUAACCCCACCUCUUGGCAAGGCCUAAUUGUCAGAUCAAAUCGAAACUACUUCA